UACAGAGAGUGCAAACGUUGUUCGGAAUUACUGGGCUUGAAGCGCACGUAGGCGGCGUUGUAAGUGUCGGGUGAAAUCCCACGGCUCACCCGUGGAACUGCCCGGCAUACUGCGAUGCUAGAGUGUGGUAGGGGAGAGCGGAACUCCUGGUGGAGCGGUGAAAUGCGUAGAUAUCUGGAGGAACACCGGUGGCGAAGGCGGCAUCCUGGACCAAUUCUGACGCUGAGGAGCGAAAGCCAGGGGAGCAAACGGG
rnacentral:rRNA from 1 species